rnacentral:rRNA from 1 species
UACGGAGGGGGCUAGCGUUGUUCGGAAUUACUGGGCGUAAAGCGCACGUAGGCGGCUUUGUAAGUUAGAGGUGAAAGCCCGGAGCUCAACUCCGGAACUGCCUUUAAGACUGCAUCGCUUGACCGUCGGAGAGGUAAGUGGAAUUCCGAGUGUAGAGGUGAAAUUCGUAGAUAUUCGGAAGAACACCAGUGGCGAAGGCGACUUACUGGACGACUGUUGACGCUGAGGUGCGAAAGCGUGGGGAGCAAACAGG